rnacentral:rRNA from 1 species
ACGUUAGCGGCGGACGGGUGAGUAACACGUGGGUAACCUACCUAUAAGACUGGGAUAACUCCGGGAAACCGGGGCUAAUACCGGAUAACACAUGAAACCGCAUGGUUUCAUGAUGAAAGACGGUUUUGCUGUCACUUAUAGAUGGACCCGCGGCGUAUUAGCUAGUUGGUAAGGUAACGGCUUACCAAGGCAACGAUACGUAGCCGACCUGAGAGGGUGAUCGGCCACACUGGAACUGAGACACGGUCCAGACUCCUACGGGAGGCAGCAGUC